rnacentral:rRNA from 1 species
UCCGUAGGUGAACCUGCGGAGGGAUCAUUACUGAGUUUACGCUCUACAACCCUUUGUGAACAUACCUAUAACUGUUGCUUCGGCGGGUAGGGUCUCCGCGACCCUCCCGGCCUCCCGCCCCCGGGCGGGUCGGCGCCCGCCGGAGGAUAACCAAACUCUGAUUUAACGACGUUUCUUCUGAGUGGUACAAGCAAAUAAUCAAAACUUUUAACAACGGAUCUCUUGGUUCUGGCAUCGAUGAAGAACGCAGCGAAAUGCGAUAAGUAAUGUGAAUUGCAGAAUUCAGUGAAUCAUCGAAUCUUUGAACGCACAUUGCGCCCGCCAGCAUUCUGGCGGGCAUGCCUGUUCGAGCGUCAUUUCAACCCUCAAGCUCUGCUUGGUGUUGGGGCCCUACAGCCGAUGUAGGCCCUCAAAGGUAGUGGCGGACCCUCCCGGAGCCUCCUUUGCGUAGUAACUUUACGUCUCGCACUGGGAUCCGGAGGGACUCUUGCCGUAAAACCCCCCAAUUUUCCAAAGGUUGACCUCGGAUCAGGUAGGAAUACCCGCUGAACUUAAGCAUAUCAAUAAGCGGAGGA